UAGGGAAUCUUCGGCAAUGGACGAAAGUCUGACCGAGCAACGCCGCGUGAGUGAAGAAGGUUUUCGGAUCGUAAAACUCUGUUGUUAGAGAAGAACAAGGACGUUAGUAACUGAACGUCCCCUGACGGUAUCUAACCAGAAAGCCACGGCUAACUACGUGCCAGCAGCCGCGGUAAUACGUAGGUGGCAAGCGUUGUCCGGAUUUAUUGGGCGUAAAGCGAGCGCAGGCGGUUUCUUAAGUCUGAUGUGAAAGCCCCCGGCUCAACCGGGGAGGGUCAUUGGAAACUGGGAGACUUGAGUGCAGAAGAGGAGAGUGGAAGUCCAUGUGUAGCGGUGAAGUGAGUAGAUAUAUGGAGGAACACCAGUGGCGAAGGCGGCUCUCUGGUCUGUAACUGACGCUGAGGCUCGAAAGCGUGGGGAGCAAACAGG
rnacentral:rRNA from 1 species